UUUAUAAAAUUGGGGGAGGGGUAGAUAACUGCUCUUAUUUUUAUCAAUAAAAAAUUUUAAAGUGCACCCUGUUCCUUAAAACAUAGAAAUGUGGAAAAAUAUGGUUUUUAAUUUUGUGUUAAUGUCUUAUUCUUCAAGAGUAGAUUGCACUGUCAUUGAGAAAGAAAUCGCUGGCGCCUUCAUGUUGUGUGGUGUUUUGUAUCAACAUAUAUCUCAAAUGUUCCAAGAGAUGAGUCAGUGAUUCCAAAGUUCCUCCCCUCCCAUACUUCUCUGUUUGCCUGAGGAAGUGAGUUCUCGCCCACACUCCCCACUUCCCAAAGAGCCAAGAUACCGGUAUGCGGACAUGGAGGAGAGUAUCUACAGAAGACAGUGGAUUUUUUUAAAUUAUGAAGCAACGUGUUCUCCAACAAAGAGAAAUCCGUGUGCUACUGUGGGAGAAGAGCUCCCUUGUCACAGGUCGGGCAGGCAGCAGCUGCUAGCACUGGGGCUUAUGUAAGGCCCUGCUCUCAGCCCUUGGGCCCCGGUGCCCAGUUUCCAGCCAGGAUCCAAGGGGUCAGCGUGCCAGGUGAAUGAAAUCCUGCCUUUGUUUGACUGCCCCAGAGUCUCUCGCUCUGGGACGUUCCGUGCAACAGAAACCCAGACACACUUAUUAUACAGAAACCCGGGAGGGGAAGAGGAAGGAGGCUUCUAGGUGCCAAAGGCAGUGGCAAAAACUGAAUAGGCAAGAACUUUCUCCCAGCCAAGUCAGCAGAGUGUCCCAAAGGCUCAGAGAUUCCACAGUCUAUGAGGAUGGGAGAGAGCGUUCCGUAAAAGCAAUCCAACUACUGUAACAUAGCACACACAUCAAAAAUAGCACUGUUUUAAAAACAUGGAGUUAUAUAGAGAGAAUUUUAAAGUGUUUUUAAUAUGUAUUUUAAUAUAGAUUUUUAACUGUAUGUAUUGACAAGAUUGAAAGCUGUUGAGUCCCUACUAAACAGACACGGACUAUGUAACACAAUAAUGACAUCAUUGAUCCAUUAAAUUCAAGAAGAGACAAUUCAAUUUUAGAUGAUGUCACACAAAUUAUAUGUUUAUCAUAAAAGUGGUAGAUAAAUAGAAAAUAAGGAAAAUAUUAUUUUCAAUAUCACUAAUCUAGCCCAAUCACCAACUCAAAACAAUGUAAAGAGUUUCGACUGAGGUCUUAACUUCACAUUUGAAUUAAGUCUGUUCUCAGGCUUGAUGCUUAAGAAGCCAACAACAGAAAAGAGAUGCUUUACUGGGUAUUUACAAACACUCACACAAGUAUAAAUAGAUAGAAGACACAGUGAAUUUUAAAUCCAGCAAAAUAUAUAUGUUUAUUGAAACCCUACUGUGUGAUGGACACAGCAUUAUUAUUAUUAAUAGUAUUAUUGUUGCACAUCAAAAAAUUUGUGGCUCCUACCUUCAAACAUAAAGUAAACAGUAUAAUAAAUUCGUAUGUGCAAGACUUCCCUGUUUUAGUUGUUUCUUUGAUAUGUGGUGGAAUGCCUGAAGAUGCAUAUCCUUACAUCAAUGUUAUAGUUUCACAGGAUGUGGUAGAGCUUUAACACGAGAUGUAAAGAAAUAAUUAGCUUCAAAAGUCAGGGAGGCAGUCAAUAAUACUUAUCAAGUACCCACCCCAUGCGCAGUUGGGGCCUGCAAGAAAAAAGCUGGUUAACAAGAAGUUUCUGACCAUCUACUCAGUAUGCAAUAGGCUGAGUACUGUGAGAAAUAAAAGAGAAGGACAUUGAAAGCCCAUGCUCUUGAAGGAUUUUCUUCCAAACACAAAAUCCACACAUGGGAAUUGCCUUGGGGACACUUACAAAGAAACAUGAGACAUUAGCAUACUUCAAACUGAUUUUAGAAAAUACAUAUAGAAUACAUAGUAGAAGAGCCAUCACGUUUAGGCAGGGUUUGUCCCAAGUCUCUCCGAGAAAGGAGAGGUGUAGAGGUUUGCUCACUUCAUUGGAAAGUCACGUGUUUCACCCUGCACUUUAUUUCUGUAAUUCAAAGGUUUUUUUGUUUGUUUAAUUGCUAAAUUACAAUUUUAAUCUGAGAGCACUAUUCUCUGACACACUGUUGGAGACUAGGCUCUGUAUGAACACCUGGAGAGAAAUCUUAAGUGACUUGGCACUGCUGGCAGGGGGUUAUAACUCCUCCUGAGCAGUUCCAGAGCCACUGUUUAGGAGGCCUGUCUAGUCAUGACUGGUGGCACAGGAAAAGAAUGAUGGGACUUGAAAGUGCUAAAAAGUCCUUUUUUAUUUGUUUCUUCUUGGAUAGCUGCAGUUUUAAAUUGAAUUACAAAUUUGCCAGUGGUUUCAGCUUAAUUCUUCAAAUAUAUAUUGAAUUGGUACUGUGGGCUCUGGAGGAGAUGGUCUGUGAUCCAUCCCUGCUUCCAUCCCAGAGAUGGAAGAAUCUCUGGUAAGCAACACUAGGAGCAUCACAGAGGCUGGAGUCUCUGGUACCUAAGGUCUUUCUGGAAUGUUCUUCAGAGAAGCUCCUCUUUCCCUUGCAAAACAGGAGAGUAUGGUAGAGCCAUUCCCAGAGAGCCAAGAGGAGAGACCAAGGGGUCAGGAAAGAUUGCCUGAG